rnacentral:rRNA from 1 species
GAUGAACGCUGGCGGCGUGCUUAACACAUGCAAGUCGAACGGACGAUGAAAAGCUUGCUUUUCAAAGUUAGUGGCGGACGGGUGAGUAACGCGUGGGUAACCUGCCUCAUACAGGGGGAUAGCAGCUGGAAACGGCUGAUAAAACCGCAUAAGCGCACAGCAUCGCAUGAUGCAGUGUGAAAAACUCCGGUGGUAUGAGAUGGACCCGCGUCUGAUUAGCUGGUUGGUGAGGUAACGGCCCACCAAGGCGACGAUCAGUAGCCGGCCUGAGAGGGUGACCGGCCACAUUGGGACUGAGACACGGCCCAAACUCCUACGGGAGGCAGCAGUGGGGAAUAUUGCACAAUGGGGGAAACCCUGAUGCAGCGACGCCGCGUGAAGGAAGAAGUAUCUCGGUAUGUAAACUUCUAUCAGCAGGGA